rnacentral:rRNA from 1 species
CACGAGCGGCGAACGGGUGAGUAACACGUGAGUAACCUGCCCCUGACUCUGGGAUAAGCCGGGGAAACCCGGUCUAAUACCGGAUACGACACUCCUCUGCAUGGUGGGGUGUGGAAAGUUGUUUCGGUUGGGGAUGGACUCGCGGCCUAUCAGCUUGUUGGUGGGGUAACGGCCUACCAAGGCGAUUACGGGUAGCCGGCCUGAGAGGGCGACCGGCCACACUGGGACUGAGACACGGCCCAGACUCCUGCGGGAGGCAGCAGUGGGGAAUAUUGCGCAAUGGGCGGAAGCCUGACGCAGCGACGCCGCGUGGGGGAUGACGGCCUUCGGGUUGUAAACCUCUUUUACCACUCACGCAGGCCCCGGGUGUUCUCGGGGUUGACGGUAGGUGGGGAAUAAGGACCGGCUAACUACGUGCCAGCAGCCGCGGUAAUACGUAGGGUCCGAGCGUUGUCCGGAAUUAUUGGGCGUAAAGAGCUCGUAGGCGGUGUGUCGCGUCUGCUGUGA